GACAGAGGGUGCAAACGUUGCUCGGAAUCACUGGGCGUAAAGCGCGUGUAGGCGGUUGUCCAAGUUGGAUGUGAAAGCCUUGAGCUUAACUCAAGAAAUGCAUUCAGGACUGGAUGACUAGAGGACCGGAGAGGAUAGUGGAAUUCCCAGUGUAGUGGUGAAAUACGUAGAGAUUGGGAAGAACACCAGUGGCGAAGGCGGCUAUCUGGACGGUUUCUGACGCUAAGACGCGAAAGCGUGGGGAGCAAACAGG
rnacentral:rRNA from 1 species